rnacentral:tRNA from 1 species
GGAGAUAUGGCUCAGAGGUUAAGAGCACUGACUGUUCUUCCAGAGGACCUGGGUUCAAUUCCCAGCAACCACA